GUGGGUUUGUUCGUGGUGGACACUGGUGAAUGGCUUGGAUCUGACACCCGUACUACAUUGGCAUUGAGUGCGCAAAUUUCUGAAGCACUUCUCUAGGGAUCGUUUAGAUGCCUAUAAAUGGUUUAAGUGGUAAAUGAUUUAUAGGUGUAAAUCAUUUACAACCUCUCCUAUUUGGCUGUCAGCUGUAAAUGAUUCACAUGUAAAUGAUUUUGUGUGUUUGGAUAGCCUAUAAAUUGCUCAAGUCUUGUAAAUGGAGAGCCAAUCAUUCCAUUUAUAGCUGUUAGGCCGUAAAUGGAGAGCCUGUAAUUGAAAUCCCAACUUUUUGUUUGUAAAUCAAAAGGGCUGAAAGCUGUAAAAGAUUUACAGACUGUAAAUCAUUUACAUGCAUUUUUCUGCAUCCAAACAAAGUAAACCAUUUACAGUCAUCCAAACGACCACUAACAGUGUUUUGGAUUGUAAAAUCUGUUGGCUAUUAUAUUGCAAAUAGAUUUCUUGAAGAGUCAAAAUUUACGAUUUUUUGUUUUUUUUGGUUCCCAACAAGUCUAGGACUAGUUCUACAACAUGAAAUGCUACAUUUUCCUGUAAAAUCAUAACCACGAACUUGUUAUUAUAACCUUCCAAUGUGUUCUCCUGUGCAACAUCCUAUGCUCUUCUUUGUCAUUGAGAUAAUGGUCAGAAAGGUCCAUGCAAUUAUCAGCCUGGGAAAUUUUCAUGGCCAUGCAUUUUGGGGAUCAUGCUUCAAAAUCUCAGUAUUGGAGCAUGUGUAAGAAAGCUCCUGAAACAGGGCAUCCCAAAAUGCAUUGGAUGCAUGGGUGGUAUUGCCAAUGUUGUGAACUAUUCUCAACAUUGUGCCAAACCUCAUCUCAUAUCAUUAGGGCUGAUAACGAAUUGUAUAGGGUGAGAACUUAAACUGUGAGAGAAGGAAUUGAUCACUAACUAGUUUAUGAUGUAGAUCCACUGGUGUAUCAACUGGCUUAUAUUAUGGUUUUAAGGCAUAUAGGAAUUUAGCCACAUGGAACUCCUUAUGUUGCUGAUGUUUUUUCUUUGGAUCAGCAUUAAGUGGUUGAUACACAUUCAGCUCCUCUUACAUUCUUUUGAUUUUCAAAUAAUAUUCACCAAGGGACUUAUUUCCUUGUUAAAAUGUAAAAAUCUCUUCAAAAAAUCAAUAUGUACGGGAGAUAUUUUUAUCAAAUGAAUACGUUUCUCAUAAUGCAUUGCACAACUCCUUUGUAAUAUCUAGAAACAUUGCAUUCCCGCCAAUAGAUUUUUCCAUUCUGUUACGUCAUGAUUUGAGCAUUUUUAUGGAUCCAAUAAUUGUACGUGCUAUCACUUGCAUCUGGUUCUCCAUAGUUGGGUAUUUUAAUGUCUUUGGCCAUAAAAAAACAUUUGAAUUGAUUUAGACCAUUGGAGAUAAUUUGCUUCAUUUAGUUUUAUAGAGUCUAUUUGAUCAGUAGAAAAUCAGAUGGAUUUAGGAACUUAGAUCUUUGAUCACCCUUGAUCUUCAUAAGGAGAGAAAAUAAAGAGAAUCCUAUGGUGCUUUUACAUGAAUUAGGGAUGACUCCGUUGGAUAUAAGAAUGCUCUAAUUACACGUUCCACAUGAUGCACACAUUGCACUUGGCGAAACAAUCAGCAUGCAUGUUCCGAUCGAAUGCGAGAGGAGAGAUGAUCAUGAAUAUAACAUUCACCAUCUUAUACACGGACCAUUACAAAGGUUCGACACACCAAAACAAGAAAAAAGAAACCCGACAAAUGGAGUGCAAAGAGGAAAAAAGAAGAAUUUAUGAGAUAGAAGAGAUAAAUCAUAAUAAAAUCCUCUAUGAUACCAUGUAGAAUUGUAUAAAAGUGAAAGCAAAUAGAAAAGAGAAAU